CCUACGGGAGGCUGCAGUGAGGAAUAUUGGUCAAUGGACGCAAGUCUGAACCAGCCAUGCCGCGUGCAGGAAGACGGCUCUAUGAGUUGUAAACUGCUUUUGUACGAGGGUAAACGCAGAUACGCGUAUCUGUCUGAAAGUAUCGUACGAAUAAGGAUCGGCUAACUCCGUGCCAGCAGCCGCGGUAAUACGGAGGAUUCAAGCGUUAUCCGGAUUUAUUGGGUUUAAAGGGUGCGUAGGCGGUCGGAUAAGUUAGCGGUGAAAUCCCGAGGCUCAAAUUCGGAAUUGCCUCUGAUACUGUUCGGCUAGAGAGUAGUUGCGGUAGGCGGAAUGUAUGGUGUAGCGGUGAAAUGCUUAGAGAUCAUACAGAACACCGAUUGCGAAGGCAGCUUACCAAGCUACUUCUGACGUUGAGGCACGAAAGCGUGGGGAGCGAACAGGAUUAGAUACCCGGGUAGUC
rnacentral:rRNA from 1 species